CUGGGAAUUGGAAAAAAAAUUGGGGCUUAGAACACAAUGCUUAAGAGUAGAACCCAACGCAGGUUCUUUCCUAUACGAAAAAGCACAUAAUUUCUCUUCUCUAAGACUUCAAAUCAAAAAGUAGAAGCUGAAGAUUGAACAGAGGAAGUUGAAGACUGAAGAGAAGAGCUCAAAAUCAAAAGAGAUGAGUUGAUUCUCUUCUCCAAAAUCGGAAUAGCUGAGUUGAGUUGAGCUAAUGUUGACGAACUAGGGAUCGAUUGAGGAACUGAAGAUCGAAGAUUUGAAGCUUAAAACCAAUUUCAUCAAGCAUGAUGGAAAUUUACAAGCUGAGUCAAGUUCUGGAUCAUUUUGGGUUCUGUUUGGUGGCUUUGCCCCAAUUAGCAAAAAGCAUUACUGAUGGUUAGGUCAAUAAGUUGGAUGGUGAACUUACAAAAUCCAUCUUGGAAAAUGAUAAAUGCUAUAUUUUGGACUGUGGUUCCGAGGUUUUCACUUGGGUAGGCCGUCAUACUCAGCUCGAGGAGAGGAAAAGUACCAUUCAAACAGCAGAGGAAUAUCUUGCCAAUCAAAAUAGACCCAAGUCAACACGUAUUAUCCGGAUUAUUCAAGGCUAUGAGACGCAUUCAUUUAAGUCCAAUUUUGACUCUUGGCCAUCAGGAUCAACACCUGCCCCUGAGGAUGGACGAGGAAAAGUAGCAUGUAGAGUUAUUAUGAGAGAGUGAAGAUUUUGUGUGUUUCUGGUUUGAGUUAGUUUUAACUUUGUCCAUGUUGAGCCCUUUCACCGUUGGUGAAGCAACAAGGUGCUGCUGUCAAAGCUGCUAGCGAAAGUACUUCUGUCGAUGAAGAAGUCCCGCCUUUGCUUGAAGAAGGUGGAAAGAUAGAGGUUUGGCGUAUCGAUGGCAGUGCAAAGACUCAGAUACCCAAAGAAGACAUUGGUAAAUUCUACGGUGGAGAUUGCUACAUAGUUCUCUACACAUACCAUUCUCACGAACGAAAAGAAGAUUAUUACUUAUGUUGGUGGAUUGGAGAGGAUAGCAUCGAGGAGGAUCGAGAAAUGGCUGCACAAUUGGCUAGCACAAUGUGCAAUUCACUUAAAGGGAGACUUGUGCUGGUUACUUUUUUUCGAUGACAGUUUUUCAGUCAAAAACUCAAAAUGAAGCUUAAUUGUGACAUCUACGUUAUCCAGUGUAGGGUAUACCAAGGCAAAAUUGUAGUCCUUUCCCUAAGUUAGCUUUUGUCAAAUUACUGCAGACAUAACUUUAUUUCCUUGUAGUUGCAUGCACUAAUUAGGUAAUAUCCUCUUAGAGACAUCCCCUUUUACUCGACAUGAUUUACAUCAUCUGCCACCUAUAUCUAGAAGUAUUAUCAUCACUAAGUCACAUGUUUUUUUCUAAGAUUUGGAAAGACACCCUCUUUUGAUCUUUUACACUGUAAUAGAUUUUGAAUAUAAGUAGCUAAAUGAUCAAUAACUUCCCGUGUUUUAUUUUUGUUUACAGGUUUUAGUUUCUGUUUUGUUCCAUAUGUGAAGUAUGUUUUGCUUAAUACAGAAAGUGUAGGAGAUAACGAGCUAUUCCAUCUUCUUCCAAACUCUAGCAAUAUGAAUUUGUGGGUAAUGAGUUAUCUGAUACUUGAGCACAAGGCUAAGUUAGUUCGAUUUUACCUUCAAUACUGAAGAAGGUUCUGCACAUUGGACAUGCAUUUUGUGUGCUCUUUGUUUUCUUUAUCACUGUGACUUUGAAUCACCGUGUUCUAGUACUUCUAGUAAUCUACUUUGCAUCAGCUUUAGAGUAUUUCUUGGCAGAUAUGUAUCCUGUGCUAUUGGGUGCCCAGUUGAUGGACUGAUUUCACCUUCAAAAGAGACAUAUGUUGCAAAUAAACUUCAUGACAUGGGAUGUUUUGAAAUUUUCCAUGGAGACACAAUAGGAAUCACUACUCAAGAUAAUAUUCUGAAUUAUGUAUUGCAUUAAAAUUGAGAGCCAACAACAGAAGACUGCACAAAUGUUGUAGUCCUUAUAAUGUGUAAUUUUUACAUUGAAAUUGUAUUUAGAUUUGGAUUGGUUUUCUUACAGUGAAUUCUCUCUGAUUAUGCACUUCCAUCAAUUAAUUCACAAACUUAUAAUUUUAUUUUAAAUGUGCAGGAAAAUGCAGGUAAUUGAAUUUGAAUUUGGCUAGAAGUAAACUCGAUCUAUUGUGGCAAAAGAUGAAGAAAUUUUUGUAUUGUUGUCAUAUACGUUUGAAUGACACUUUUGGGUUUUUGGAACUUGUUGGUAUUAGAGAUCUUUAAGCAAUCACUUUCUGUGUUUUGGUUGUACAUGAAAUAUUUCUCGAAGUUUAUUUGAAAUAUAUAGCUUCAAUUUAAUGAUUAAUUUGUUUAUUUUG